rnacentral:rRNA from 1 species
GCGGUACGCGAGCUGGGUUUAGAACGUCGUGAGACAGUUCGGUCCCUAUCCGCUGUGCGCGUAGGAAUAUUGAGAAGGGCUGUCCCUAGUACGAGAGGACCGGGACGGACGAACCUCUGGUGUGCCAGUUGUUCUGCCAAGGGCAUGGCUGGUUGGCUACGUUCGGGAGGGAUAACCGCUGAAAGCAUCUAAGCGGGAAGCCUGCUUCGAGAUGAGUAUUCCCACCUCCUUGAGAGGGUAAGGCUCCCAGUAGACGACUGGGUUGAUAGGCCGGAUAUGGAAGCCCUGUAAGGGGUGGAGUUGACCGGUACUAAUAGGCCGAGGGCUUGUCCUCAGUUG